CCUGGUUAGACACGAGAUACAUAUUAUGGAAGUUCAAGUGUUAAAACGGUAUUUUUUUCAUUCAUGGACAAUAUAAUAUGUAGAAGAUGUAAAACUUGUAGAAGCAUGUAAAUGAUCUAGGCUAUGAUCUAUGUCAUAAUAUGUAGAAAGUUCACAAUUCUGAAAGAAACAAUUCAACUUUACAGGUAAUGAUUUAAGUGUGUAGCAAAUCUUUUACCAGUUGGAAAACUAGACACUGAGGCUAGAAUUGCUCACAGAUUUUCCUUGUUGAUAUUGGAGACAACUUCUCUAUAUUUAAUUGGCUCAAGAAUCUUACCAAAGCAGCAAUUGAAGCAAAGAUUGCAACAGUCAAAUAACGGCCAAGUUUAGCAUCUGCCAGGAAACCACCUAGAAGACCAAGAAGAUUAAGUGUGCCCAUGAAGUUGGUGACAAUGUUGGCAGAUUUGGAGGAUGGAAGAUGUAAAUCUCCGACCAAGUAUGUGACUAAGUUCAUUGCUAUCCCUAUGACACAUACCCUUUCUGAUAGCUCGGUUCCUAUAACAAAAAUUUCAGUUAUGAGACUGCAAAAACAUUUGUUACGCUCAAGAUAUUAGACAAAGUUCUUUGUUAGGGAGGGCACCUAGGAUGAGUCCUGCAGCUAGCCAUCCCCCGGUUCGAGACUUAUCAACCGGAUUUCCUCUAAAAUCAACCAGAUUUUCAUUUUCUGCACCAUCUUUGCCAGCAUGGUUAUCAACCAAAACCUGUGCAUGAUUGAAAGAAAGCUUUAAUGAGAUAUUAAAGAAGAGAUACCCUUAUAUUCUAUAAAAUGGAAGAGAAUAGCUGAGUCUAGUUACCAUUGCUGCAAGAAGGCCUUCAAAGAAAAGGAGGGGAAAUGGGAAUAGAAAGGGAGAUUUUAAUGAUGAAGUAGGAAUGAUAUUAUGUUUGGUUUCUGGACUUUCUAGUUUAAAGAAAAAUAUGGGAAUGAAUGAUUAGGCCAAAAGAUUUAAAAGGUAGGCUAUAGCAGCAGGAUUCUAUUGCAACAUUAUCUUCUAAAGUUGGAAGGUACUACUGACUGAUUGCAGCAGGUUUGUUUGUAUUUGGAAGUAUCAUUUUGUGGUCAUAAAGGGUUCUUAUCUCAAGACAAUGGGACCAGUUGUAACAGGCUUUAGGUUAUUCCCACUUACUUUACAAAUUA